ensembl:lncRNA
UUUUUCUUUAUUUUACUAUUUUCUACAUUGUAGAAUAAUACAGAAGACAUCCCAACUAUGCAAUAACACAUAUGGAAUCAUGUAGUAACCAAAAUAUUUGUUAUAUUUGAGAUUCUUCAAAGUAGCCCCCUUUACCUGGAUGACAUAUUUACACACUCUUGGCAUUCUCUCCACCAGCUUCAUGAGGUAGUCACCUGAAAUGCAUUUCAAUUAACAGGUGUGCAUUUUCAAAAGUUCAUUUGUGGAAUUUCUUUCCUUCUUAAUGUGUUUGAACCAAUCAGUUGUGUUGUGACAAGGUAGGGGUGGUAUAUAGAAGAUAGCUCUAUUUGGUAAAAUACCAAGUCCAAAUUAUGGCAUGAACAGCUAAAAUAAUUAUUUUUGAAGUAGUGGAUAUGUUCAGUAGUGAAAACGAUUGCAGUUAAGAUCAAUAACAUGUGUGCGCGCUCUGAAACGAUUGACUGCGAUCAUCAUGCGCGAGAGGCUAACCAACUACCAAUGAACUAUCUAGCCAGCUAAUGUGCUCCUAUACAAACCGACAGUCCAGGUGUCAAUAUCUGAUAUUUUCAGCAUGACAUGGUUAACGUUAGCUAGCUAAAAUGACUGUUGCGUUAUUCCGCCUCAUCGGGUGAUGAACUGGGCUUGAUGGAUCACAAAAUGGAGCAAAGACCUCCUGCUGACGUUACCGAUGGCAUAGACAUCGCGGAAUGGGGUGAUCGGAAAGCUCAACACACAGAAGCUGUUGUCCUAAUAAAGAGUACAUCUUCCAGGAGAAGUGGUCGACAGCACACAGAACAUUUGAUCAGGACGAGGCCUGGAAAACCAAAGCCCAGGGCGAUGGUUUCAUGGGCUCUCUCAGGACCUUGUGGGCCCAGGCUCGUUGAAAUAUCAGCUCAACUCAGACAUGGACUCUGGCUGUGGGACAGAAAAAACAGACACUGCAACCCACUCAAGACUCUGCAGAACCACCCAGUGCCCAGCCAGCCUUCCCACCUGUCACCACCAUGGCUCCCCAGAUACCAUUCUCCAGUCUGUUUCCAGGUUGAGGAGAGGCUGACAGAGUGUUUGACCCUGCUGGGAGGGAACAGCUUGCUGAGGUCCCUGCUCAUCCGUCAUGUCCUGUCUGAGAUCAACCGGCUAGCAGAGCACGUCUUGAUCACCUGCCAGGGGGAGAGCAGUGAGGGGUCUGUCCAGGUUGACGUGUCCCAGUAUGAAAACUCCUCCUACCUGGUCUGACUCCUGGAGUAGCUCCUACAUGGACCUCCAGGGGCCGCAGUGGGGCCAGGACACCAAUGGACGUAGGAGCAGAGGGCCCUGCUGGGCAGCCUGGAACACAGCGUCCUUCUCCUGUCUGACUUCCCCUGUUUAGCCUACAUGUGGAGGAUAGGGGCUCUCCUCGCCCCCUCUGUUCCAGGAACGAGCAUGGCGCCACCACGGCCACACAGGCGUGUAAUUCCACCUCCAGGAUGUUUCCACUUCAAAGGGCUGCAGAAGUUGGUGCAGAUACAGUCAAUUUGACUGACAUGACAGGAUUGAAGAGACAGGACUUAACAAACUGGAGGAGGUGGUGGGAGGUGCGUUAUUCAUUGAGGUUGGCUACCUCUUCAGAAGAAUAAUCUAUAAAUAGUAUGGCACUAAACCAAAGCCUGUCAUUAUUCUUGUUGGGAAAAGUGUGGCAAUUAAACAAUAAGACCCGAGGGGGUGUGGUACAGUAUAUGGCCAAUACACCACGGCUAAGGGCUGUUCUUAAGCACAACUCAACACGGAGUGCCUGGACACAGCCCUUAGCCGUGGGGGUUUGUGAUAUCAGGGCGGCAGGGUAGCUUUCAGCCACUCAGCAUUCAGGGCUCGAACCACAGUUUAUAAUGUGAAAUAGACUAUUGUGGCUGGCAUUAGAAUUACAAUGGAAAGCAUUGCAUUUUUUAUGAGAAUUAUAUAUUUUUUAUUUACAGACUGUGUGAAUGUAGAAUGGAUAUACUGAGUGCUGUAUGAGCAGGAAUAUCUUACUGUAAAGAAGGUAUGUCCGGAAAGUUUUUAGGCAUUUACAUUUUCAUUUGUUGAUUCUAUUAGCAAGAUGUAGUGAAGCAAUUUUACAAAUGGAUUUGAAAAUAAAUAAAAUCCAAAAUGUUCAUAUUCCAGAUUGUAUCCUUGAUUCAAGUCCAUGUAAAUAUUUAGUUACUGGACUUUGAUAUAAGUGUUUAUAGAAAUAUGUACUGAUAUUUAAGACAUGAUUGUAUAGAGAUUGUCAGUGACAUUAGAGUCUGACUUGUUGUAGUGUUCUAUAGAAGGGAUACAGUAAGUCUGACUUGUUGUAGUGUUCUAUAGGAGGGAUACAGUAAGUCUGACUUGUUGUAGUGUUCUAUAGGAGGGAUACAGUAAGUCUGAUUUACUGCCAUGUUCUAUAGCAGCGAUGGCUGUGUCCUAACAGACUGAACAGGUUAUAUUAGUGCUGCAUGACCCUCCCCAGUUUGUUAUCCUCUUCUAAAUAGCUGUGGACGGGAGGUGAGGCAGACUGCCUGUGAUGACUGCCAGCUCUGCUAUGUUUGCCCCGGCUGUAACCCAGU